rnacentral:rRNA from 1 species
AGAGUUUGAUCCUGGCUCAGAUUGAACGCUGGCGGCAGGCCUAACACAUGCAAGUCGAGCGGAUGAAGGGAGCUUGCUCCCUGAUUUAGCGGCGGACGGGUGAGUAAUGCCUAGGAAUCUGCCUGGUAGUGGGGGAUAACGUUCCGAAGGGAACGCUAAUACCGCAUACGUCCUACGGGAGAAAGCAGGGGACCUUCGGGCCUUGCGCUAUCAGAUGAGCCUAGGUCGGAUUAGCUAGUUGGUGAGGUAAUGGCUCACCAAGGCGACGAUCCGUAACUGGUCUGAGAGGAUGAUCAGUCACACUGGAACUGAGACACGGUCCAGACUCCUACGGGAGGCAGCAGUGGGGAAUAUUGGACAAUGGGCGAAAGCCUGAUCCAGCCAUGCCGCGUGUGUGAAGAAGGUCUUCGGAUUGUAAAGCACUUUAAGUUGGGAGGAAGGGCAUUAACCUAAUACGUUAGUGUUUUGACGUUACCGACAGAAUAAGCACCGGCUAACUUCGUGCCAGCAGCCGCGGUAAUACGAAGGGUGCAAGCGUUAAUCGGAAUUACUGGGCGUAAAGCGCGCGUAGGUGGUUCGUUAAGUUGGAUGUGAAAGCCCCGGGCUCAACCUGGGAACUGCAUCCAAAACUGGCGAGCUAGAGUACGGUAGAGGGUGGUGGGAUUUCCUGUGUAGCGGUGAAAUGCGUAGAUAUAGGAAGGAACACCAGUGGCGAAGGCGACCACCUGGACUGAUACUGACACUGAGGUGCGAAAGCGUGGGGAGCAAACAGAAUUAGAUACCCUGGUAGUCC